UUGAUCCUGGCUCAGAUUGAACGCUGGCGGCAUGCCUUACACAUGCAAGUCGAACGGCAGCACGGGAGCAAUCCUGGUGGCGAGUGGCGAACGGGUGAGUAAAGCAUCGGAACGUGCCCAGUCGUGGGGGAUAACGUAGCGAAAGCUACGCUAAUACCGCAUACGAUCUGUGGAUGAAAGCGGGGGACCGUAAGGCCUCGCGCGAUUGGAGCGGCCGAUGUCAGAUUAGGUAGUUGGUGGGGUAAAGGCUCACCAAGCCGACGAUCUGUAGCUGGUCUGAGAGGACGACCAGCCACACUGGGACUGAGACACGGCCCAGACUCCUACGGGAGGCAGCAGUGGGGAAUUUUGGACAAUGGGCGCAAGCCUGAUCCAGCAAUGCCGCGUGCAGGAUGAAGGCCUUCGGGUUGUAAACUGCUUUUGUACGGAGCGAAAAGGCUUCCACUAAUACUGGGGGCUCAUGACGGUACCGUAAGAAUAAGCACCGGCUAACUACGUGCCAGCAGCCGCGGUAAUACGUAGGGUGCAAGCGUUAAUCGGAAUUACUGGGCGUAAAGCGUGCGCAGGCGGUCUUGUAAGACAGGUGUGAAAUCCCCGGGCUUAACCUGGGAACUGCACUUGUGACUGCAAGGCUGGAGUACGGCAGAGGGGGAUGGAAUUCCGCGUGUAGCAGUGAAAUGCGUAGAUAUGCGGAGGAACACCGAUGGCGAAGGCAAUCCCCUGGGCCUGUACUGACGCUCAUGCACGAAAGCGUGGGGAGCAAACAGGAUUAGAUACCCUGGUAGUCCACGCCCUAAACGAUGUCAACUGGUUGUUGGGUCUUCACUGACUCAGUAACGAAGCUAACGCGUGAAGUUGACCGCCUGGGGAGUACGGCCGCAAGGGUGAAAACUCAAGGAAUUGACGGGGACCCGCACAGCGGUGGAUGAUGUGGUUUAAUUCGAUGCAACGCGAAAAACCUUACCCACCUUUGACAUGUACGGAAUCCUUUAGAGAUAGAGGAGUGCUCGAAAGAGAGCCGUAACACAGGUGCUGCAUGGCUGUCGUCAGCUCGUGUCGUGAGAUGUUGGGUUAAGUCCCGCAACGAGCGCAACCCUUGUCAUUAGUUGCUACGAAAGGGCACUCUAAUGAGACUGCCGGUGACAAACCGGAGGAAGGUGGGGAUGACGUCAAGUCCUCAUGGCCCUUAUAGGUGGGGCUACACACGUCAUACAAUGGCUGGUACAAAGGGUUGCCAACCCGCGAGGGGGAGCUAAUCCCAUAAAGCCAGUCGUAGUCCGGAUCGCAGUCUGCAACUCGACUGCGUGAAGUCGGAAUCGCUAGUAAUCGUGGAUCAGAAUGUCACGGUGAAUACGUUCCCGGGUCUUGUACACACCGCCCGUCACACCAUGGGAGCGGGUUCUGCCAGAAGUAGUUAGCCUAACCGCAAGGAGGGCGAUUACCACGGCAGGGUUCGUGACUGGGGUGAAGUCGUAACAAGGUAACC
rnacentral:rRNA from 1 species